rnacentral:rRNA from 1 species
UACAGAGGGUGCUAGUGUUGUUCGGAUUUAUUGGGCGUAAAGGGAAUGUAGGUGGGAAUCUAAGUCAUAGGUGAAAUUUCGGGGCUUAACCCUGAAUCUGCCACUGAUACUGGAUUUCUUGAGUAUGGAAGAGGGCGAUGGAAUUCCUGGUGUAGCGGUGGAAUGCGUAGAUAUCAGGAGGAACACCAAUAGCGAAGGCAGUCGCCUGGGACAAUACUGACACUGAAAUUCGAAAGCAUGGGGAGCAAACAGG